UGGGGAAUUUUGGACAAUGGGGGAAACCCUGAUCCAGCCAUCCCGCGUGUGCGAUGAAGGCCUUCGGGUUGUAAAGCACUUUUGGCAGGAAAGAAACGUCAUGGGUUAAUACCCCGUGAAACUGACGGUACCUGCAGAAUAAGCACCGGCUAACUACGUGCCAGCAGCCGCGGUAAUACGUAGGGUGCAAGCGUUAAUCGGAAUUACUGGGCGUAAAGCGUGCGCAGGCGGUUCGGAAAGAAAGAUGUGAAAUCCCAGAGCUCAACUUUGGAACUGCAUUUUUAACUACCGGGCUAGGGUGUGUCAGAGGGAGGUGGAAUUCCGCGUGUAGCAGUGAAAUGCGUAGAUAUGCGGAGGAACACCGAUGGCGAAGGCAGCCUCCUGGAAUAACACUGACGCUCAUGCACGAAAGCGUGGGGAGCAAACAGG
rnacentral:rRNA from 1 species